UUAUCUUAGUGUAAAGAGCACGCAAUUUUUUGAUAUUUGAGGUACAAGUAGAUAGCC
rnacentral:tRNA from 1 species